rnacentral:rRNA from 1 species
CCAAUAGCGUAUAUUAAAGUUGUUGCAGUUAAAAAGCUCGUAGUUGAAUUUCGGGGUCAGUAGGUUGGUCAUGCCACUGGUAUGUACUGGCCUCACUGAUUCCUCCUUCCUGAUGAGCCGUAAUGCCAUUAAUUUGGUGUUGCGAGGAAUCUGGACUGUUACUUUGAAAAAAUUAGAGUGUUUAAAGCAGGCUAACGCUUGAAUACAUUAGCAUGGAAUAAUGAAAUAGGACGUUCGAUCUUAUUUUGUUGGUUUCUAAGAUUGACGUAAUGAUUAAUAGGGAUAGUUGGGGGCAUUAGUAUUCAAUUGUCAGAGGUGAAAUUCUUGGAUUUAUUGAAGACUAACUACUGCGAAAGCAUUUGCCAAGGAUGUUUUCAUUAAUCAAGAACGAAAGUUAGGGGAUCGAAGACGAUCAGAUACCGUCGUAGUCUUAACCAUAAACUAUGCCGACUAGGGAUCGGAUGAUGUUAAUUUUUUAAUGACUCAUUCGGCGCCUUACG